UACGAAGGGGGCUAGCGUUGCUCGGAAUUACUGGGCGUAAAGCGCACGUAGGCGGCUUUCUAAGUCGGGGGUGAAAGCCCGGAGCUCAACUCCGGAACUGCCUUUAAGACUGCAUCGCUUGAAUCCAGGAGAGGUGAGUGGAAUUCCGAGUGUAGAGGUGAAAUUCGUAGAUAUUCGGAAGAACACCAGUGGCGAAGGCGGCUCACUGGACUGGUAUUGACGCUGAGGUGCGAAAGCGUGGGGAGCAAACAGG
rnacentral:rRNA from 1 species